CGGCCAGACUCCUACGGGAGGCAGCAGUGAGGAAUAUUGGUCAAUGGGCGCGAGCCUGAACCAGCCAAGUCGCGUGAGGGAAGACGGUCCUAUGGCUUGGAAACCUCUUUUGUCGGGGAGCAAAAGACGCCACGCGUGGCGUUCCGAGAGUACCCGAAGAAAAAGCAUCGGCUAACUCCGUGCCAGCAGCCGCGGUAAUACGGAGGAUGCGAGCGUUAUCCGGAUUUAUUGGGUUUAAAGGGUGCGUAGGUUGUUUUUUAAGUCAGCGGUGAAAGUUUGUGGCUCAACCAUAAAAUUGCCGUUGAAACUGGAAGACUUGAGUGUGUUUGAGGUAGGCGGAAUGCGUGGUGUAGCGGUGAAAUGCAUAGAUAUCACGCAGAACUCCGAUUGCGAAGGCAGCUUACUAAGCCAUAACUGACACUGAAGCACGAAAGCGUGGGGAUCAAACAGGAUUAGAUACCCGAGUAC
rnacentral:rRNA from 1 species